AGCGAGAUGGCGCAGCUGGUAGCGCGCUGGGCUCAUAUUCAGUCAUCUGAAGUCACCCAGAGGUCGUCGGAUCGAAACUGACUCUCGCUA
rnacentral:tRNA from 1 species